GGCAGAUGAUGUCCUUAUCUCACGAUGGUCUGCAGAUGUCCCUGUGGGAAUGUCAACAAGCAAAAAGAAAAUUAGUAAGAACCCUACACUUAACUUUAUCCCCUCACUUUUUGCCAUUUU
rnacentral:snoRNA from 1 species